GCAUAUGGAGGUUCCCAAGCUAGGGGUCCAAUCAGAGCUACAGCUGUAGGCCUAUGCCAGAGCCACAGCAAUGCCAGAUCUGAGCCAAGUCUGCUACCUACACCACAGCUCACAGCAACGCCAGAUCCUUUACCCACUGAGCGAGGCCAGGGAUCAAACCUGCAACCUCAUGGUUCCUAGUCGGACUCAAUAACCCCUGCGCCAUGACAGGAACUCCAGAAACAGCUUUGAUUAUUCUAGGUCAUUUGUAUUUCCAUAUCAGUUUUAAAGUCAGCUUGUCAAUUUCUCCAAAUAGUCUUCAGUGAUUUUGAUUGGGGUUAUAUUGAAUUGUGGAUAGUAUGUCUUUGAUGCAAUUUUGAAAGCCCCGAAAGGCAUCCCCUUGAUCAGUCCUCUCUUGCACUUUGGAAGGUUCUGUCAGUUCUCCAUCAGAGUUCAUUUAUUUGGGUCAAGAUGCUAUGUCAGAUGUUGUCUCUUCUGCUACAAAUAAUAACCAGUAUUUUUAAGUGCAUAUAAGAGUGUUAUAUUCAGGAGUUCCCAUUGUGGCUCAAUGGUAAUGAACCUGACUAGUAUUCAUGAGGACUUGGGUUCCAUCCUUGGCCUUUCUUAGCGGGUCAAGGAUCCAUGUUGCCGUGAGCUGCGGUGUAGGUCACAGAUGUGGCUUGGAUCCCAGGUUGCUGUGACUGUGGUGUAGGCCAGCAGCUGCAGCUCCUAUUUGACCCCUAGCCUGGGAACUUCCAUAUGCCCCUGGUUUGGCCCUAAAAAAAAAAAAAAAAAAAAAGUGUUGGAGUUCCUGUCAUGGUGCAGCAGAAAUGAAUCUGACUAGGAAUCAUGAGUUUGCAGGUUCGAUCCCUGGCCUCGUUCAGUGGGUUAAGGAUCUGGUGUUGUUGUGAGCUGUUGUAUAGGUCACAGAUGCGGCUUGGAUCUGGCGUUGCUGUGGCUCUGGUGUAGGCAGGCAGUAAGAUCUCUGAUUAGACCCCUGGCCUAGGAAUCUCCAUAUGCCAAGGGUACGGGUCUGAAAAGACCAAAAUAAAUAAAUAAAUGUGUUAUAUUCAAAAUCUUGCUAAGUGCAUACACGCCAAAAAAUCCUCUAAGUGAGAUAUUAUUUUCUCCAAAUUGCAUGUGAGAUUCCUGAGGCCCAAGGAUUUCAAAUAAUUUGUCCAAGGUCAGACAGUUAAUAAGGGAGGAUCUGAAUUCAGAUGCCAUUUACUCUGAAGCUUAAAUGUUACAGGGAACUGAAUUUCAUUAUCAUUUAUUGCCCAUUAUCAUAUAAGUGUGGGGGUUUUAUAUCAGCUGGAAUCCAAAUACUAAAUGAUAGGAAGAUAGAAAAGGUUAUUUUGUGUUGGUGAAAGAAGCAGAGCCCUGCCAGGGAGAGCCUGUGUGGCUUGGUCUUGGGAUGUCUGGGUCAGAGGAUACCAUUAAGAGCUGGGAAGGUAGAGUGAGCGGGAGGCUGAAGGCAGACAGCCUCUCUUCCAGAUUGGCCAGGGGAGGCUCAGACUAGAGGUGACCAUCUAAAAACAGCCUGUUCCACUGCUGUUAGCUGCCUGAGAAUAUUUAUAUCUUGAGAAACUCACAUGUGAUACACUUGGCAGUAGCUGCAGGGCACCGGUUCCUCCUCCGCCCCUCAGAUGCGCUCAGGGCAGCAGAGAGAACAUAGAGAUUCACAAAUGAGCUUUCUUUGUAGGGCACUGGCUGCUUUGAAAUUCUUCAUUAAAUCUUUUUCACAAAUAAAUUGCCCAAUGUCCAUGGGGAAUAUUUCCAUCUUUUAAUCAUAUGCGGUUUGAAUUGACUCAAGAGUUUCAGUGUGCUGGGGCUGGUGUGGAGGGCCUUAGCAAGGGGGAGGGGAGCAGACUUUGGGAAGCCCAGCCUAGCCUGUGCAAUCUCUUUUGAAUGUAAGUAACAAAAAGAGGCCUCAAAGGGAGCAUUGGGGUAAGCUUAAAUUUUGUGAUGUGUUUAGCUUCCGUCGCUACUAUGGAUUUUUGAAACAAUGAAAGUUAAUUACAGACCUAUAAUCUAUGGGUUUGCUGUUGGUUCCAGAAGUGAAACUGUGUGGUUUGAUUUUCCUCUUAUAGGUUGGUGAGCCAUUCUAGAUUAACAGUUUAAAUAAAAUGUCAAGUAUCUGAUUGCCAUGGAAACAUUAAUGCAAAGUGGACCCUGUAGCACUUCGUGCUGUAGAAUUACAAUGAUAUGAAUUACCUUAGUCUCGAGACACCUGAAAUGGCCAGAAUUGCAUCCCUGAAAAAUAAGCCAAUCAUGCACAAAGAAGAAAUAGUGUGAAAUGCUCCCACUCAGUCAUGUCACCAUACAUGUAUUUAGGAGUUGGACAAAUGUCAGUUUCUUUCAAAGGACAGGAACAGGUAAUGUAGGCAGACUUUAUUGUGGUGUGGUCCUCACUUACUGUGGAGGAAUCAGUGAGGAGAGGGUACCAGCUCUAGUUUUCUUCAAUCCUGGGGGCAGGGGUGUGUCUAAGGGAUGCCAAUCACUGGGGGUCAAGCUCAAGAACUUGCAGCAGGCACAUCGGGGCCUGCUCCAGGACCUCUCCCUGGAACACAUGUUCCAACUGCCUCCCCAGCCUGAUUAUCAGAGCACUGCUGAUUAUGUUAUGCAAAUGAUGGGAGAUGGAUUUCACAUUUCCCCCAGCCAGGCUUUGCACAGCUUUGCAUUUAUUAUCCCCCUUUAAAAAUACAGAGUCCUCAGAGAAGGGGAAUGGCUCAUUUUUAUUUGUUCACCAGCAGAGUUGGCACAGACCUGUCAAGCAAUCAUCCUGGGCUGUGAUCUGCAAAGCUGCCCUUUGUUGUUCAGUUCCCCCUCCCCCCAGAUUGUUUACAAGACACACACAGACAUCUGCACGCCUCAAAACAAGUUAUUUCCUGAUUCGGCAAAACUUGUCAGCCUGGUUUGAAAAUGUUACAGCAUCUGCUGACAAGCCAUCAGAUAAACCUGGAGUUCCGUCCCCAGUACCUUGUCCUCCUUCCCAUGGCAGAGUGGUAAACACUUAGCAGGUCCUGGUUGUAGAUGAUUGUGCAAUCAGCCAUCUGCCCCUUAGCACUUUUGAUACUGCUUUCCAUUCACUGGCGUGUUGGUCCUUUACCAGGAACACAGUGACGACAUUUCCCUUCUUUUGGAAGUAGAAGGACUAAGCUUGUGUUUGCUCUAUUACCAAUGAACAUCUAGAAAUCAAGGUUAGGUCUCUUGACUUCAGAUAAAAUUCUUUAGUCUCCACCACGGAAAUGUCUGAACCACAAAUCUAUCACGGUAGAGGUUUCUUUCUGCUCUUACUGUAGCCGUGAAAACCUAAAGCACAUAGUGUAGCUUUCCAUUAACCUCUUCUCCUUUCACGUUCUUCCUUGUUCCGCUCCAAGCUCCCACCCCAGGGAGGAACUAAUAUAAUUUGUGUAAAAUGAGCAACUGGAGAUUAAUGAGGCCGAGAUCAGCCAACACAUCCAAUUCCUCCAGAAGAAUUUGUAUGAUGAUUUCCCCUGAUUUACAAGACGGAGCCCAGCAACAGUAUGAGCUCAUCAAAGUGGGGAAAAAUGGCCUCUUGUCACAACUUGAUAAAAGCUCUACAGAUCUUUGUCAAGUGGGAAUAAAACUCUGUAGCUCUGGAAAGGUUUAUUAAAUCAGAGAUUUAUAAUCCAGCUUUGCAAAUAGCUACUCGCCACCUAUUUCUGGUAAAUCACGACUCAUUUCACACAUAUAGGAUUGAAAUUGAUAUGUAUGGUUAUACACACACACACGUCAUAGAUGCACGUAUGCAUAUAUAUGUGUGUAUAUUUUUUGAACCAUUAUUGCAGCAAUUAUUUGAACAAAUAUUGAACAAUUAUUCUGACAAUUGUAUUGAGUGUCUGUGAAUAUGUAAAGCAUGAGAGUUUGUAGAUUAAUUUAAAUUGAUGGCUAAUAUAACAGCAGCUGACACUGGUUGAGCCUCCUUAUGAGCCAGGAUAUUUAUAGGUAUCUUUUACCAUCAUAUUAAUUCUGUGAAGUAGAUGUUAUCUCCAAUUAUCAGAUGGGAAAACCAGAACUCUGAGUUGAUUUGACUACUCAGGUUGUAAAGUGAUGCAGUCAGGAUUCAGAUACAGGUCUGUGCUAAUUUACAGUCCAUGCUAUACACAUCAGUAAGAAACCAGGAAGUUUUCAGUGGCAGCAGACCCAGUGCAAGAUCAUUUAAACCAUAAUGGGAAUUUAUUGUCUCACGUGACUGAAAAAGCCACAGGUUGGCUUCAAUGGAAGAUUGCUCCAGCAGCUUAAAUGAUAUCUACGAGGGCAUAAUUUCUUGUGGUCAGUCCACUCUUGUGGGAAUUUCGUUGGGUGCAGCAGCUCUGUCUCUCUAACAAAAUACCUCCCCCAUGAUUCUGGUUGGAACAUCUUCAACAUACUACCCAGAAAAGAAAGACUGGUUCUUAACUCUCAGAGAAGAGAAAAGCUCUUUUCCCCUAGAAUCCCAACAAGUAUCUUCUAAUAAAUCACUGAGUCUUGAUAGGAUUGCAUUCCUAUCCUGAAACCAAUCCCUUGGCCAGGGGAAAAGGCCCAGCCAAGGCCCAUAUCUAGAAGUGGUGGCAAAUCAAUCCCAUCCAACCCCCUGGCUCAGAAGGAAAGAAGGAAUGUUGCCCCCAAAGAUAUUCUUCAAAAUGACAAACAACAACAAAAAGUUUCUACUUCCAUUAAGAAAUAUGCAAUAGAGGCAAUGAAGCAAAAAAUACAUUUAUGCAAUGGAUUUCAGAGCACAUACAAAGCAACAUUCAAACAGGGAUAGUAAACAAGAGUUGAGAAAGACAACUUAAGGAAUUAUUUGUUAGAUAAGAAAUAAACUAGGGAGGAGUCCCAGAACAGAAAGUUUGAGCAGUUUUAUUGUUCUUGUUGGUUUUUGUUUUUGUUUUGGAUUUUUUUAGUAGGAAACAGCUAAGAGUUGGAAAAGAAAAUCUCAAGUGUAAGAGUAAAGAAAUCAAUCAUCUGGAACCGUGUGCACAUUCUUUUGGGUAUAGCAGUAACAGACAUUAUUUUGGUGAUAUUAACUGAUAGACAGCAAAAGUGAAAAAUCUCAGCUCUCUAAUAAUAUAAAAUAUCAAAAUGCUGUAAAUGUUUGAACUGAAAAUCAACAGGGCAAAGAUGUUAUUUGAAUAUUUUUUAAAUUCUAUUCUGUAUCCCCUGGAUUAGAGAUGAGAGGUGACUAAUGUAAGGAGAAGUCAAGCACAAGGAAGGUAAGCCAGUGUCUGGAAUGUAAGGUCAUUAUCUCAAAAAAACAUGCCUGAAGCACUUACUUGAUCAUGUGUCAGGUACAAAACUGGGAGAGAGGAUACAAUGAUGAAUUAAGGACUGUGAGAACCUGUCCUCCAGAGGCUCACAGUCUUAAAGUGCAGGUAAAUAUAAAAUAGCAAUCACAACUCAACAGGGCGGAUACUAUGUGAAAAUAAGAGAAAAACACCAUGGGUGCAAAAGAACAACUGACUCUUGGGAAGAGAAAAAUAUGAAGAGUCCACACUUGAGCUGGUUCUUAUAGAGGCAACAAUAAUUUCAACUAGCAGCUGACCUUGGAAUGGUGUAUCCUAUAGCUAAGCUAUGUUGUAGGGAAGGCAAGUUGAUGACAGAGAAAGGAGAAGAAAUGAAAGAAGGAAGAAGGGGAGGGAGGGAAGAAAAAAGGAAAGAAGAAAGAGGGAGUUCCCUUUGUGGCUCAGUAGGUUAAGAACCCAACAUAGUGUCCAUGAGGAUGCAGGUUUGAUCCCUGGCUUCACUCAGUGGGUUAAGGAUCUGGCAUUGCUGCAGGCUGCGGUGUAGGUCGCAGAUGUAGCUCAGAUCUGGAGUUGCUCUGGUGUAGGCAGGAAGAUGCAGCUUGGAGAACUUCCAUAUGCUGCAAGUGUGGCCCUAAAAAAAAGGAAAGGAAAGAAAUGAGGAAGGGUAUGGGAGGGAGGGAACAAGGGAAGAAGGAGAGAGGAAUUGAAGGCAAUACAAGUUUUUUCGUCUGCUUGCACUAGUUUGUCUUGGGGUUUAAUUGCUCAAGCCUUUCCUUUUUCUGUCUUUAAAAUUUUCAGUAGGCCUUGCUUUAAAGUGUCACCAACAGUGGCAGUAAAUGAGACUGGAUGAAGUAACAUAUCCAAAUCAAGUCAGCAAGGGAAUGCGGUUGGUUCAGACUAUUGUUGUAAUAGAGUUUUGUUUGUGCACAUUUCAUAUCUUUC
rnacentral:lncRNA from 1 species